AAAAUACAAUAAUAGCAAAUUUUAACGAUCAUUAAAAAUUAAAAAAAUUAGAUAGUAUUACAUCAAAGAACAUAAAACUUACUGGAUCCUUAUUGCUCUCCUGUGUUGGGACUACAAUAUCCACCUCAAGAUUAUCAAACAACAUCCCAAACUUUGGCUCAUACUUUUUUUGUUUCACGUCCGCAACAUUAUCAGUUUCUUCAUUAUUUCCAUCUAAAUUGUUGUCAUCUAAAUCUUCGACUUCGUAAUUCUUUCCUGAAUCCGUCAUUUCUAUACCAUGAAAAAUAAAUUGUAUUAACCAUAUACAAUUCAAACAAAAUCUAUAUUUCAAAUAACUUAUUUCUAAUAAUUUUAAAAUAUAAAUACAAUAAAUCAAAACUUUUCCGCAACAUACUAAAUUUAGUGACCUAGGUUG
rnacentral:lncRNA from 1 species